rnacentral:lncRNA from 1 species
AGGCAUAAGCACACACGUCACAGUCUAGAGCCUCGGAGAAGGAGCAAAGGACCUCAGACCUGUCCACCUCAGAGGAAGCUUCCUGCCAGAGUUGUCAGCGGGACUCUGCAGAAGAGUAGGGAAUGAGGAAGGGGUGUGACUGGAAACUGCUGCCUCCCUCAGAGGCUCACUAUGCCAGCUCCUCAUUGCGUGGUCCGUCUGUGCAGUACAGAUAAGGGGUGGAUCUCUUACAAAUCUUAUCCUGCCCUCCGAGAAACCAUUGCUCAAGUCAGGACUCCUCCCCGAGGCUGUGGCGAUGUGGUGUGAUGCUGGGGCACCUUGACAGCUGACUGUGGAGUCUCUGAACUUUCAGACAAGCUUGAGAGCUGGAGGCUUACUUGUGCCUUAGGUAAAAUUAUCCCAGGAAAGUUGUUUGCUUUGUUUCAUUUUGGGUUGGUUUUUUUUUUGGGGGGGGGGGUCUGGUUAAAUUCAAUAAAUAUCACCAAACAGGGAGUGGGGAAGGACGAAAGAGAAAGAAUGAAUAAAGGAUCAGGAGUAUCAUGGCAGGUGGGCCCUGUUGGGACCCGCUGAGGACAUUGGCUCCAGGAGGU